rnacentral:lncRNA from 1 species
AUGGACACGCGCCCCGCCACGGGCCCGGCCGCUUCCCAGCACAAAGGACCGCGCGCACCCACUGCCGGCGGCGUCGCCGAGCGCUCUGCGGCGCGUGACAGGCACCUCGCCGCGCCGGAGGGUCCCGAGGCCCGGAGCCCGCCGGCCUCGCGAGCGCGCGCGGAGCCCGGGCCGAGGCGAGACCCGUGCCGGCGGCCGCGGGAGGCAGCGCCGCGCUGGCCCCGCCCCUCCCGGCGCCCCGCCCCGGCCCCGCCCUUCCCGGCGCGCCACCGCCCCUCCCGCGGACGGAAGCGGGAGCGAGGCCGAGCGCCUGACGUCAGGGCGCCGCCGCCAAACCUCGCCCGGAGUCGGCGUGUGAGGGGCCGGAGCGGCGGCGGAGCGGACGCCGUGGCGCCGGGGCAGCGGCGCGGAGCAGCGCGGGGCGCGGCGGGGCGCGGAGGCAGCGGGCGAGGUGGGCGGCGCGCGCGGGCGGCGGGCGCGCGGGGGCGGCGGGGGCGGCGGGGCGGCGGGCAGGCCGCGGAGGCGCCCUCGGCGCGGCAGGUGGGGCGGGCGCGGCCUCCGGGGCUCGGGCGGGGGCGCCGCGCGGCGGACGGGUCGGGCGCCGGGAACAUGGCGGAGGGCGCGGGCCGGGGACCCCCCCGCCCGGCGCGGCUCCGCCCGCCCGCCGCCCGCCGCCCCGGCCUCCGGGUGGGCGCAAGUUGGAACGGAAACCGGAAAGUUGUCCUGCGGCCGCCGCGGGCCGCGCCCCUGCCGCGGGGCGCCCGCGGGAAAGUUGGCCGGGGCGCGGGCGGCCCCACCUGGGCGGCGCCGGGGACGGCCGGGCCUCGGCGCCGCGGGACUCGCCCCGGGCGACGGCUCGGGAAGUUGGCCGCGCCGCCGCGGCGAGCCCCGUCCGGCGCGGGCUGUCAGCGUGGGCGGCGGCCGCGAGGCCCCGGGACCCGGCCAUCCGGGCUCCGCUUCCGAGCACACUGGCCUGCGGAGCGGAGCCGGGGCUCGCGCUCGGGCAGCUCGUGUGCUUCCCCUUCGCCUGCCCCCGCCCCCCGUUAG